UGAGUUUGAUCCUGGCUCAGGAUUAACGCUAAUAACAUGCUUUACACAUGCAAGUCAUACGCUACUAAUAAGCGUGGCGCACGGGUGAGUAAUAUCACAAGUCACUUUAUACUUUACAGAUAGGAAUAAUACCGCACAAGUUUUAUAUUUAAAACUUUGUACACCCGGUAAAUACCUUCAAAGAAUUAAAAUUCGCUGUAAAAUUAACUUGUGAAAGAUUAGGUAGUUGGUGGUAACACAUCAAGCCUUCGAUCUUUAGUUGGUCUGCGAGGACGAUCAACCACACUGGAACUGAAAUAUGGUCCAGGCCGUAUAUGGCCAGCAGUGAGGAAUAUUGGACAAUGAACGAAAGUUUGAUCCAGCAAUGUUAUAUGAUUGAUGACGGCUUUUCAAAGUUGUAAAACUCUGUCACCUAAAAGGAUAAAUGACAUUUUAGGUAAAUAGUCCCGGCUAAUACUCGUGCCAGCAGCCGCGGUAAUACGGGAGGGGCAAGCGUUAUCCGAAAUAACUGGGCGUAAAGGGUCCGUAGAUUGUGUUGUAAGUUACUUCAAAAAUACUAGAGGCCUAACCUCAGUCUGAAGUUAAUACUACUCCACUCGAGUUGAUAACAGAAGAAUAGAACUCUGUAAGAAGAGAUAAAAUUCGCAGAUAAACAGAAGAACAUCUAUUUGGCGUAAGCAAUUCUUUAGUAACAACUGACGUUGAGGGACGAAAGUGUAGGUAGCAAACAGGAUUAGAUACCCUGGUAGUCUACACCGUAAAUGCUGAGUGCUCAAACUUAAAUUUUUAGGUUUCAAGCUAACGCGUUAAGCACUCCGCCUGAGGAGUACGAUCGCAGGAUUGGAACUCAAAGGAAUUGACGGGGGCCUACCACAAGUGGUGGAGCAUGUGGUUUAAUGCGAUAAUCCGCGCGAAACCUUACCAGCCUUUGUAUAAAACAAAAAAGAACUUUCUAAUUCCCCUAAAGAAUAAAAUUUUUUCUGGGGUAAUUCCGUUUUACAGGUGUUGCACGACUGUCGUCAGCUCGUGUCGUGAGAUCGUUGGUUAAUUCCUUAAACGGGCGUAACUCUUCUUUUCAAACACUUUAAUGUAAAAACACUGCUCAUUACAAAUGAGAGGAAGAAAAGAAUCACGUCAAGUCUCUGUGGCCCUAAUAGUCUGGGCUACACAU
rnacentral:rRNA from 1 species